rnacentral:rRNA from 1 species
AUUGAACGCUGGCGGCAGGCCUAACACAUGCAAGUCGAGCGGAGCGGCGGACGGGGGAGUAAUGCCUAGGAAUCUGCCUGGUAGUGGGGGAUAACUUCCGGAAACGGACGCUAAUACCGCAUACUAUCAGAUGAGCCUAGGUCGGAUUAGCUAGUUGGUGGGGUAAUGGCCUACCAAGGCGACGAUCCGUAACUGGUCUGAGAGGAUGAUCAGUCACACUGGAACUGAGACACGGUCCAGAGUCCUACGGGAGGCAGCAGUGGGGAAUAUUGGGCAAUGGACGAAAGCCUGAUCCAGCAAUGCCGCGUGUGGGAAGAAGGUUUUCGGAUUGUAAAGCACUUUAAGUUGGGAGGCGUUACCAAAAGAAUAAGCACCGGCUAACUACGUGCCAGCAGCCGCGGUAAUAC